UACGGAGGGUGCAAGCGUUAUCCGGAUUCACUGGGUUUAAAGGGUGUGUAGGCGGAUUUUUAAGUCAGUGGUGAAAUCUCCGGGCUCAACCCCGGAAACUGCCAUUGAUACUAUUAGUCUUGAAUUCUGUUGAGGUGGGCGGAAUACAUCAUGUAGCGGUGAAAUGCUUAGAUAUGAUGUAGAACACCGAUUGCGAAGGCAGCUCACUAAGCAGACAUUGACGCUGAGGCACGAAAGCGUGGGGGAUCAAACAGG
rnacentral:rRNA from 1 species